rnacentral:rRNA from 1 species
CGCCUCUUGAUAACAUAAGAGGUCCAGCCUGCCCAGUGAGUAAUUAAACGGCCGCGGUAUACUAACCGUGCGAAGGUAGCGCAAUCACUUGUUCCUUAAAUAGGGACCUGUAUGAACGGCAUCACGAGGAUUUAACUGUCUCCCCCCUCUGAUCUGUGAAACUAAUCUCCCUGUGAAAAAGCAGGGAUAAAUAUAUAAGACGAGAAGACCCUAUGGAACUUUAAACAAAUAAUACCUGCUCCCCCCCCCCUCCUUUUUUCCUGAAAACAAGCACCCACGAGCAUGCUAACUAAAAGUUUUCGGUUGGGGUGACCACGGAGAAAAACCCAUCCUCCGCGAUGAAAUUCUAAACUAUAAGCCACAGCUUUAAGAAUCAGUAAACUGACAUUAUUGACCCAAACUUUUGAUCAACGAACCAAGCUACCCUAGGGAUAACAGCGCAAUCUACUUCGAGAGCACAUAUCGACAAGUAGGCUUACGACCUCGAUGUUGGAUCAGGGUCCCCUGGUGGUGCAGCCGCUACAAAAGGUUCGUUUGUUCAACGAUUAAAACCCU